UAAUGGCGAACGAACGGGGAAGAGCUCGUAGCCGAAUCCCGCAUCGUACGGUGCGGGAAAUGUGGCGUAUGGGAGGCGACACUCUCCGAGUGCGGCCGGCGGUGCAAGUCCCCAUGAGAGGGGCAUCUUGCCCGGAGCGGGUGCUAGGCCCUUAACGCCUCUGGCCCGCGCGCGGAGUCGUCGUUCUCCUUGGAGUCGGGUUGCUUGGGAGUGCAGCCCAAAGCGGGUGGUAAACUCCACCUAAGGCUAAAUACGACCGAGAGACCGAUAGCAAACAAGUACCAUGAGGGAAAGUUGAAAAGCACUUUGAAGAGAGAGUUCAAGAGUACGUGAAACCGUUCAGAGGUAAACGGGUGGGGCCUCGAAGUCCGAUGGCGGUGGCGGAUUCAGCCUGGGCCWUAUAUCUGCGCCACGGGACGACGCCGCAGAAGCGGGACAGUUCUGGUGCGUAACGRUUAUGGACCGGCGCAUUUCCGUACCCCGCCCCAAGGGCGUCGCAACGGGUUGGGAGGCCGUCGUAAGGGCCGGUCGGAAGGUGGCCACCUUUCUCCUUUGCGGGAUYGGAGGUGUUAUAGACGACCGGAUCCCGACGAUCGCCCGACCGUGGAGAUCUUGACGUUCCCUCCUCGAGCUUGGAGCGACGUGGCGUGCUUUUAUUCGGUAGACGGAGGUGCCACCGAGCCGUGAGCCCCCGCUCUCUCCGUUAAUCGUUACGCCUUCGUUGCUGCGGAACAGAAGGUUUGCGGCGAGUAGKUCGGUUACCCACCCGACCCGUCUUGAAMCACGGACCAAGGAKUCCAAUGCUCGUGCGAGUUUCUGGGACUUGAAAAGGCCCGGGGGCGAAAUGAAGGUAAAGGGAAACUCGUUUCCCCAGUUGGGAUCCCUCGAGGGGGCRCACCAMCGGCCCGCNUAGUAGUCGUUUCGGCUUGGCGGAGCUAGAGCACGAGCCUUGGGACCCGAAAGAUGGUGAACUAUGCCUGGGCAGGAUGAAGCCAGAGGAAACUCUGGUGGAGGUCCGUAGCGAUUCUGACGUGCAAAUCGAUCGUC
rnacentral:rRNA from 1 species